rnacentral:rRNA from 1 species
UAGUCCACGCCGUAAACGAUGAAAACUUGCUGUUAGAUAUAUAAAUGUAUUUAGUGGCGUAGCUAACGCGAUAAGUUUUCCGCCUGGGGAGUACGAUCGCAAGGUUAAAACUCAAAGGAAUUGACGGGGGCCCGCACAAGCGGUGGAGCAUGUGGUUUAAUUCGAUGCUACACGAAAAACCUUACCUACUCUUGAUCUCCUUAACUAAAUAGAGAUAUUUGGGUGCCUUAGGGAAUUGGAUGACAGGUGUUGCAUGGCUGUCGUCAGCUCGUGUUGUGAAAUGUUGGGUUAAGUCCCGUAACGAGCGCAACCCUCAUCCUUAGUUACUAACAAGUUAUGUUGAGCACUUUAAGGAAACUGCCGGCGAUAAUCCGGAGGAAGGUGGGGACACGUCAAGUCAUUAUGGCCUUUAUGAGUAGGGGCUACACACGUGCUACAAUAGUUGAUACAAAGGGGUCGCAAAACCGCGAGGUGGAGCAAAUCUUUUAAAGUCAAUUGCAGUCCGGGAUUGGGAGUCUGCAACUCGACUCCA